rnacentral:ncRNA from 1 species
AUGUGACAAAUCGCCACCGGUUCGAACCGGCGGCGGUUAGAGGGAAUCCGGUGCGGACGCCACGUCCAAUUCCGGAGCUGCCCCGCAGCGGUAUAGGGAACGAACUUCGUCAGGCACUGGGAGCGAUCCCGGGAAGCGACGGACAGUAGGAGGCGCCUCGUGCUCCAUGCCCCAAGCCCGAAGACCUGCCAUGACCGGAAGGCUCGC